CCGCGUGGAGGAUGACGCAUUUCGGUGUGUAAACUCCUUUUAUAAGGGAAGAUAAUGACGGUACCUUAUGAAUAAGCACCGGCUAACUCCGUGCCAGCAGCCGCGGUAAUACGGAGGGUGCAAGCGUUACUCGGAAUCACUGGGCGUAAAGGAUGCGUAGGCUGGAAAUCAAGUCGAGAGUGAAAUCCAACGGCUCAACCGUUGAACUGCUCUCGAAACUGGUUACCUAGAAUAUGGGAGAGGUAGAUGGAAUUGGUGGUGUAGGGGUAAAAUCCGUAGAUAUCACCAGGAAUACCGAUUGCGAAGGCGAUCUACUGGAACAUUAUUGACGCUGAGGCAUGAAAGCGUGGGGAGCAAACAGGAUUAGAUACCCUGGUAGUCCACGCCCUAAACGAUGCACACUAGUUGUUGCGAUGCUAGUCAUUGCAGUAAUGCACUUAACAGAUUAAGUGUGCCGCCUGGGGAGUACGGUCGCAAGAUUAAAACUCAAAGGAAUAGACGGGGACCCGCACAAGCGGUGGAGCAUGUGGUUUAAUUCGAAGAUACACGAAGAACCUUACCUGGCCUUGAUAUCCUAAGAAUCCUUUAGAGAUAAGGGAGUGCUAGUUUACUAGAACUUAGAGACAGGUGCUGCACGGCUGUCGUCAGCUCGUGUCGUGAGAUGUUGGGUUAAGUCCCGCAACGAGCGCAACCCUCGUGAUUAGUUGCUAACAGUUCGGCUGAGCACUCUAAUCAGACUGCCUUCGCAAGGAGGAGGAAGGUGAGGACGACGUCAGUCAUCAUGGCCCUUAUGGCCAGGGCUACACACGUGCUACAAUGGCUAGGACAAAGAGACGCGAUACUGCGAAGUGGAGCAAAUCUUAAAACCUAGUCUCAGUUCGGAUUGGAGUCUGCAACUCGACUCCAUGAAGCUGGAAUCGCUAGUAAUCGUA
rnacentral:rRNA from 1 species